UAGAGGUCAUAUGCGUCCAGGUUGAU
rnacentral:piRNA from 1 species